AGUGAACGCUGGCGGUAGGCCUAACACAUGCAAGUCGAACGGCAGCACAGUAAGAGCUUGCUCUUACGGGUGGCGAGUGGCGGACGGGUGAGGAAUACAUCGGAAUCUACUUUUUCGUGGGGGAUAACGUAGGGAAACUUACGCUAAUACCGCAUACGACCUACGGGUGAAAGCAGGGGAUCUUCGGACCUUGCGCGAUUGAAUGAGCCGAUGUCGGAUUAGCUAGUUGGCGGGGUAAAGGCACACCAAGGCGACGAUCCGUAGCUGGUCUGAGAGGAUGAUCAGCCACACUGGAACUGAGACACGGUCCAGACUCCUACGGGAGGCAGCAGUGGGGAAUAUUAGACAAUGGGCGCAAGCCUGAUCCAGCCAUACCGCGUGAGUGAAGAAGGUCUUCGGGUUGUAAAGCCCUUUUGUUGGGAAAGAAAAGCAGCAGGUGAAUACCCCGCUGUUCUGACGGUACCCAAAGAAUAAGCACCGGCUAACUUCGUG
rnacentral:rRNA from 1 species